UAUUUUAUUCAUUUGGUCAUGCUCAGUAACAUGUGUCUAGAAUUUGGAUAUAAUUAAUUAAAAGUAUAGGACAAACCUUGCAGAAGUCUUCAAGAAUUCUGUUGAUUUUUUAAAAAUUAUUUUAUUGAGGUAUAUUUUGCAUACAACAUUAUUUUAGUUUCGUAUACAACAUAAUAAUAUAUAUUUAUAGUUAUUGAAGAAUGAUCACCACAGUAAAUGUACAUCUAUCACCAUACAUGAUUACAGAAUUUUUUUCCUUGUGAUGAGAACUUUUAAGGUCUACUCUCUUAGCAACUUUUAAAUAUGCAAUACAGUAUUAUUCACUAUAGUCACCAUGCUGCCCAUUACAUCUCCAUGACUUAUCAAUUUUUUGUUUUGUUUUGUUUCUGCGGUACGCGGGCCUCUCACUGCUGUGGCCUCUCCCGUUGCGGAGCACAGGCUCCGGACGCACAGGCUCAGUGGCCAUGGCUCACGGGCCCAGCCGCUCCGCGGCAUGUGGGAUCUUCCCGGACCGGGGAACGAACCCGUGUCCCCUGCAUCGGCAGGCGGACUCUCAACCACUGCGCCACCAGGGAAGCCCCGACUUAUCUAUUUUAUAACUGGAAGUUAGUACUUUUUGAUCCUCUUCACCCAUUUUACCUCCCAACCCCCCACUCCUCACCUCUGGCAAUCACCCAAUCUGUUUUCUGUAUCUGUAAGCUUGGGGUUUUUUUGUUUGUUUGUUUUUGAUCCCACAUAUAAGUGAGAUCCUGUGGUAUUGGACUUCUUCUGUUUGACUUAAUUCACUAAGCAUAAUGCCCUUAAAGUCCAUCCCUGUUGUCACAAAUGGCAAGAUUUCAUUCUUCUUUAUGGCUGAAUGAUAUUCCAUCGUAUAUGUGUGUGUGUGUGUAUAUAUAUAUAUAUAUAUAUACACCACAUCUUUAUCCAUUCAUCCAUUGAUGGACACUCAAGAUAUUUCCCUAUUUUGGCUGUUGUAAGUAAUACUGCAGUGAACAGGGGGCUGCAUGUAGCAUUUUGAGUUAGUGUUUUCAUUUUCUUUGGAUAAAUACUACCCAUAAGUGGAAUUGCUGGAUCAUAUGAUAGUUCUAUAUUUAACUUUGUAAGGACCCUCCAUACUGUUUUCUACAGUGGUUGUAUCCAUUUACAUUCCCACCAACAUGAGCUUUGCAUGAGGGUUCCCUUUUCUCCACAUCCUCACCAACAAUUAUUAUUUCUUGUCUUUUUUUUUUUUUUUUUUUUGGCCGUGCUGCGCAUCAUGGGAUCUUAGUUCUCUGACCAGGGAUCGAAGCCGUGCCCCCUGCGGUGGAAGCACGGAGCUCUAACCACUGGACCACCAGGGAAUUCCCUAUUUCUUGUCUUUUUGAUAAUAGCCAUUCUAACAGGACAAGAGCAAAGAUCAUCCCCUGCAGAAACUUUGGAACUAUGUACAGAACUUUACAGAACAGAGGACAACACUUUAGCUGAAGCCUGCCUGCUGACCAGAGAAGGGUGUUCUGAGUGGACUCAGCAAAGAAAAGGAAAUCAAGCAGGGAAAGCCCAUCUGAAUCAAACUUCAGCUGCCAUCAGGGCAAGUCUUGUGAUGGUCACAGAUUGGAGGCUCUGUUUAUGGAAGGUUCGAGUACAGCACAGGGGUUCCAUGUAUCUUUACGGCUACACCCCAGGCUGAGGUGCCAUUAAGUCAAUGUCACUCAAAUUCCUGGCCAGCCAAACUCCGGCAGCAAAGAGUCCCAAAUUAAGGAUCAAGUUCCUCUGGAAGAGGCUUCCCUGGUGGCACAGUGGUUAAGAAUCCGCCUGCCAAUGCACGGGACACAGGUUCAAACCCUGGUCCAGGAAGAUCCCACCUGCUGUGAAGCAACUAAGCCCGUGUGCCACAGCUACUGAGCCUGUGCUCUAGAGCCCGCGAGCCACAACUACUGAGCCCACGUGCCACAACUACUGAAGCCUGUGCACCUGGAGCCCGUGCUCCACAACAAGAGAAGUCACCGCAGUAAGAAACCAGCACUCACCACAACUAGAGAAAGCCCAUGUGCAGCAGCGAAAACCCAACACAGCCAAAAAUAAAAUAAACACAUUAAUUAAUUUAAAAAAAAAAAAGUUCCUCCAGAAGUCAUUUCUAUCGGUGGCAAAGCGGUAGACUCCCCGAAGCCAGUCUCCCACGUUGUCUGGAAUUUCAGGAGCUUCAUUUGCCGAGCCCACAGUGGUCAUGCCAGCCCCACUGGAUAGCAGCACCUUCGCGCUCCACAAGGCCUCUCACCACGCACCUUCCAAAAAAUCUAUUGAUGCCUUUGACUUUGUAGUUUUUCUUGUUGUGAACAUGGAGUAAAUUAAACAUCACAAUGGAAAAGGUGAAA